AUUCUCAGAUGCAGAUGCACAAAGUCUUUCAGGGGCAAACUUAGGUGUCCCCAACCACUCCUACCCACAGACAGCAAAGAGAAACAGGCUCUGAACAAAUGCCUCUGCAGCUCAGGAAAACAAGGCAAGCGUCCAGACCUUCUGCGAUUCUGCCACAGAAGUGUGUUUGGGGGAGCUGCCACACCGCUCUGACAUAAAUCAGUGGAAUUAUAAACGAACUUGAUAUAAAAUUACAUUUUGUAUGAUAUUAAUCUUUUUAUAUGUUUGUGAAUUUUCUACUGCUGUAAAUAAAAAACAGAUCUUCAUCAGAG